rnacentral:rRNA from 1 species
UGGGGAAUAUUGCACAAUGGGCGCAAGCCUGAUGCUGCAACGCCGCGUGAACGAUGAAGGUCUUCGGAUCGUAAAGUUCUGUUGCAGGGGAAGAUAAUGACGGUACCCUGUGAGGAAACCCCGGCUAACUACGUGCCAGCAGCCGCGGUAAUACGUAGGGGGCUAGCGUUAUCCGGAUUUACUGGGCGUAAAGGGUGCGUAGGUGGUCCUUCAAGUCGGUGGUUAAAGGCUACGGCUCAACCGUAGUAAGCCGCCGAAACUGGAGGACUUGAGUGCAGGAGAGGAAAGUGGAAUUCCCAGUGUAGCGGUGAAAUGCGUAGAUAUUGGGAGGAACACCAGUAGCGAAGGCGGCUUUUUGGCCUGCAACUGACACUGAGGCGCGAAAGCGUGGGGAGCAAACAGG